rnacentral:rRNA from 1 species
ACCCGCUGAACUUAAGCAUAUCAAUAAGCGGAGGAAAAGAAACUAACAAGGAUUCCCCUAGUAACUGCGAGUGAAGCGGGAAAAGCUCAAAUUUGAAAUCUGGCGGUCCUUGGCCGUCCGAGUUGUAAUCUAGAGAAGUGUUACCCGCGCUGGACCGUGUACAAGUCUCCUGGAAUGGAGCAUCAUAGAGGGUGAGAAUCCCGUCUCUGACACGGACUACCAGGGCUUUGUGGUAUGCUCUCAAAGAGUCGAGUUGUUUGGGAAUGCAGCUCAAAAUGGGUGGUAAAUUCCAUCUAAAGCUAAAUAUUGGCGAGAGACCGAUAGCGAACAAGUACCGUGAGGGAAAGAUGAAAAGAACUUUGGAAAGAGAGUUAAACAGUACGUGAAAUUGCUGAAAGGGAAACGCUUGAAGUCAGUCACGUUGGCCGGGGAUCAGCUUCGCACUAUGCGUGGUGUACUUCCUGGUUGACGGGUCAGCAUCAAUUUUGACCGCUGGAAAAAGGCUUAGGGAAUGUGGCAGCUCCGGCUGUGUUUAUAGCCCUUGGUCACAUACAUCGGUUGAGAUUGAGGAACUCAGCACGCCGCAAGGCCGGGUUUCGACCACGAUCAUGCUUAGGAUGCUGGCGUAAUGGCUCUAAGCGACCCGUCUUGAAACACGG